UGGGGAAUUUUGGACAAUGGGGGCAACCCUGAUCCAGCAAUGCCGCGUGAGUGAAGAAGGCCUUCGGGUUGUAAAGCUCUUUUGUCAGGGAAGAAACGGUAGUAGCGAAUAACUAUUACUAAUGACGGUACCUGAAGAAUAAGCACCGGCUAACUACGUGCCAGCAGCCGCGGUAAUACGUAGGGUGCAAGCGUUAAUCGGAAUUACUGGGCGUAAAGCGUGCGCAGGCGGUUGUGUAAGUCAGAUGUGAAAUCCCCGGGCUCAACCUGGGAAUUGCAUUUGAGACUGCACGGCUAGAGUGUGUCAGAGGGGGGUAGAAUUCCACGUGUAGCAGUGAAAUGCGUAGAUAUGUGGAGGAAUACCGAUGGCGAAGGCAGCCCCCUGGGAUAACACUGACGCUCAUGCACGAAAGCGUGGGGAGCAAACAUGAUUAGAUACCCUAGUAGUCCCUGAGCGGGCUGGCAAGGCGCAU
rnacentral:rRNA from 1 species